rnacentral:rRNA from 1 species
AACGAACGCUGGCGGCAGGCCUAACACAUGCAAGUCGAGCGCCCUUUCCUGGGGAGCGGCGGACGGGUGAGUAACGCGUGGGAAUAUGCCCUUCUCUACGGAAUAGCCUCGGGAAACUGAGAGUAAUACCGUAUACGCCCUACGGGGGAAAGAUUUAUCGGGGAAGGAUUAGCCCGCGUUGGAUUAGGUAGUUGGUGGGGUAAUGGCCUACCAAGCCGACGAUCCAUAGCUGGUUUGAGAGGAUGAUCAGCCACACUGGGACUGAGACACGGCCCAGACCCCUACGGGAGGCAGCAGUGGGGAAUCUUAGACAAUGGGGGCAACCCUGAUCUAGCCAUGCCGCGUGAGUGAUGAAGGCCUUAGGGUUGUAAAGCUCUUUCAGCUGGGAAGAUAAUGACGUACCAGCAGAAGAGCCCCGGA